GAACGCUGGCGGCAGGCCUAACACAUGCAAGUCGAGCGGCAGCGCGUCCGACCACCCUCGGGUGGUCGGAUGGCGGCGAGCGGCGGACGGGUGAGGAAUGCAUCGGAAUCUGCCUCGUUGUGGGGGAUAACGUAGGGAAACUUACGCUAAUACCGCAUACGACCUACGGGUGAAAGUGGGGGACCUUCGGGCCUCACGCGAUGAGAUGAGCCGAUGCCGGAUUAGCUAGUUGGCGGGGUAAAGGCCCACCAAGGCGACGAUCCGUAGCUGGUCUGAGAGGAUGAUCAGCCACACUGGAACUGAGACACGGCCCAGACUCCUACGGGAGGCAGCAGUGGGGAAUAUUGGACAAUGGGCGCAAGCCUGAUCCAGCAAUGCCGCGUGUGUGAAGAAGGCCUGCGGGUUGUAAAGCACUUUCAGUGGGGAAGAACAGAUUCGGGUCAAUACCCCGGAGCCCUGACGUUACCCACAGAAGAAGCACCGGCUAACUCCGUG
rnacentral:rRNA from 1 species